rnacentral:rRNA from 1 species
GACGAACGCUGGCGGCGUGCUUAACACAUGCAAGUCGAACGGAAAGGCCCUGCUUUUGUGUUGUGCUCGAGUGGCGAACGGAUGAGUAACACGUGCGUAACCUGCCCUUGACUUUGGGAUAACUUCAGGAUACUGGGGCUUAUUCCUGCUAGGAGCUCCUGCUGCAUGGUGUGGGUUGGAAAGUUUCGGCGGUUGGGGCUGGACUCGCGUCUUAUCAGCUUGUUGGUGGGGUAGUGGCUUACCAAGGCUUUGACGGGUAGCCGGCCUGAGAGGGUGACCGGGCACAUUGGGACUGAGAAACGGCCAAGACGCCUACGGGAGGAAGCAGUGGGGAAUAGUGCAAAAUGGGCGGAAGCAGGAAGCAGGAACGCCGCGUGCGAGAGGACGGCCUUCGGGUUGUAAACCGCUUUCGCCGGUGACGAAGAGUGAGUGACGGUAAUGGGUAAAGAAGCAACGGCUAACUACGUG